UAGCACUAGCUGGGUCCGGUGUGCAGCUGACAACUUUUCCGUGAAUUUCUAACACCUUAGACCGUCCUGUGAGGGGUGUAGCACAGCCUACUGUUCCCCAUAUAGGAUGGCAAGUCUCUGGGAAUCUGCCUGUCUCCGCCUCUCCAGUGCUGGGGUCAUAGGUGAGUUACAUCACCUGCCCUUUAAACGUGCUUUCUGGUGAUUGGACUCUGGUCCUCAUGCUUCCAAGUCCUCACCAGCCUGGUCCAUGGCGCGCACGUUUUCAUUAUGAUCUUGUGGGCAUGAAGUUGGAUCUCACUGUGCUUUCAAUUCACAGUUCCCUGAUGACUAACAC